UAUCUGUAACCCGCAAGGGUGGCACAAAGCAGGGAACGAUUAGGGUGCAGCGUCUGAGCAUCUGCCUGACAUCAUGUUGAGAGCUUGCCCACUCCAAAUUUUGGGUUGCUAUGGGGGCACUGGAGCAGUCCGGUGAAUCCAGGGCUUUAAAGAGAAGGGGAACGCCUCUAGGCUGGAAACAGAGCAGGGAAAACCUUCCGCCUGAAAUAGUGGAGGGAUAACAGGCU
rnacentral:SRP_RNA from 1 species